rnacentral:rRNA from 1 species
ACUCCUACGGGAGGCAGCAGUGGGAAUAUUGCACAAUGGGCGCAAGCCUGAUGCAGCCAUGCCGCGUGUAUGAAGAAGGCCUUCGGGUUGUAAAGUACUUUCAGUCAGUGAGGAAGGUGGAGUCGUUAAUAGCGGCUCAUUUGACGUUUAGCUGCAGAAGAAGACACCGGCUAACUCCGUGCCAGCAGCCGCGGUAAUACGGAGGGUGCGAGCGUUAAUCGGAAUUACUGGGCGUAAAGCGCAUGCAGGUGGUUUGUUAAGUCAGAUGUGAAAGCCC